UUGCGUGAAGAUGCAUAAAUUGACGUUUCUGAUACGUAUCCUGUCAAUUGCGUAUUACAGAUUUGUACUGCUAUCCCGUUACCUUCAUAUGCUACUACGAGGCAUUAGAUUGGCACGAAAGGAAUAUAAAUUCGAAAUAUGCAACGAAAUAUAGAACGACAUAUCGACGAAAUAUAACAUAGACGAAAAUAUGGCGAUUCUCGAUUAAUUUGAUGGCUUCCGGUGAUUUGUAAAUGUGUUGAAUUUUGCUGCAUUUCCCGCACAAUUUUUUACCGUGGCAAUAUCGGACUUCCUCGAUCUUAUGAAAAUCAGGUUUCUUCCAGCCUUCAUUUGUUCCAUCGAAAUCGACGAUCCCGAAUUGAUGAUUCCGGUUUGAUCACGACUUCCUUCAGGAUACAAUUCUUCGCAUUUAAUGCGGUACCAAUUAAGAGAUCUCACCAUGCGGAGGUGACUACGCACGAGAUUCGCCCAUGAGUUCUUUAUUACUGCACAUCGACCUCGACAUUCAACCUAGUGGCCAGAAUGUCGAGUUCUGACUUUACUUAACCAUGGGCCUGCCGAGGAGGGAUCGCUGAACAGAAUUACGAAUGCACAGCUCCAACUGAAGGAGUGGCGUCCACUCCCGUGACAGUCGAAGAGAAUUACGGAGGACGUGAAAUUGCAGGUCCAUCGCCUAGUACUGAAGUACCAAUCGGACAGGACUGCAAGUCCACGACUGAAUCCCUAACAGAUUCGAAAGCAUCACAGGCGCGUCGACAAUUCCCGGGAUCCCGCGCAAACAUCGAGCAAUCACCAGAACAGGCGUGUCCUUGGCGCAACUUACAAAUUGAAAAAGCUAUGGAAUGCACGUUUACCUGCAUGCACCCCGAAUACGCGCGAGCGACCAUGCCGUAUGAUCAUAUAUUUCAAUCGUUGAUUUAAAAGUUAGGAAUUGAUGGUAUUGUAUUAGAUUAAUUAUCAGGAUAAUUAAUUUAUUAUUUAAAUCUCUUUUUUAAAUUUCAUACUCCAUCAGAAUAUUGUAUAAUCAUUUAUAAAUUUUCAUAAUCUAACUCCAAGUAUAUAAAACGGAGCACAUUCAAACGAUCACAUAAUGGAAAUGUAGCGAGUUACCCUUUUGAGAUAAUUACAUUCGCCGCGGCGCAACGUUAUGAGUUGCAAAGAGCGCGAAACACACUGAUAUUUUUCGAUAUCGUUAUUUCAGAACACGUGAUAGAGUCCCAUAUAAUGUCACGUCUAGUUGCGCUUUUAUAAUAGUGAAUGUCUGAAAUAUCGAUACCAUCUCACAGAGAAUUAUAAUAUUAAUGUGAUUUAGUUUUUGGUUUAACUCGACCUUUACCUUCAGUUUUAAAUUUACGUUUCGGUCCUUCUUACAGCUGUUUUCGUUGUUUGUUUUACAUAACGAUCAAAAAACUAAUAUUUUGCAAAUGAAUGGCAAAAAAAAAUUUGUCCGAAUUCUUUUAUACAAAAUUAGUAAUAUAUUGGCAAAGAGGAGGGGCGAUGGUCCCGUGGAAAAGAAGGUCGCUAGUCAGAGUGCUUUACCCAGUAAACUUGGUGGUUUUCUUACCAUUUUAAUAUCGUUCUCGACGUUACCGAUUUCGCAUGACGUAGGUUUAGGACAUUAGCCGUAUUUGGAAUUACAGUUGACUCGUCUUCAUUCGGGCUUCUUUAAUUAGUUUCCACUACGGAUGUCUGUAAUAAAUUCGUCUACAAUAAAACUUAAAUGAAAUAGAACAUUCAAAAUCUUGUUUGUGAUUUUAUAUAUAGGUAGGAACUCC
rnacentral:lncRNA from 1 species